GAGAACUAGAAAACCCAGGGGGUUGGAGUGAAUGGCCUGGGUCACACAGCGAGCCUGGAUUGGAAUCAGGUGGUGACAAAACCUCCUUUCUGUAUCCAGGAUUCCCUUCAACUCUCACCGAAAGGCCUGCGGCCUGCGUGUUAGCUGCUUUGUGGGUCAGGGAUGGCUCCCUGCUCUCUUGGACUCGCAGCAGAGGUCACAAAGCUUCCAGAAGGUUAGGCUGGGAUCCUGGAGAAUCUGGGGUUGCUUGGCGCCUCCCUGGAGCCCUGGAUAACACCCUUCUCUUCCACGUCACCUGCUCUCCCAUUCAGUCCUCACUUCAGAGAGACAGCCUAGAACUGAUUCUUCAAAAGUACAUAAGGAAUGUUUGUGUGCAGUUGCACCGAGUGCUGUCUCUUGAUUCUGCAUGUCCUUCCCCCGGAGUAAUUUGGGACAAGGUCACUGUUCACCUGGCGCACGUCCUCACCCCCAAUCUACCUGCUGACAGGCCUGCAAGGCUGAGAGGCUGUGACAGCAGGAGG
rnacentral:lncRNA from 1 species